GAGAGGUGAAAAUCAUUUGGAGUGUAUCUGACUUUCAGUUCAUCAUCUCAUGUCCAGUGUUUCUUCUGUCUCCUCAGAGUCUGUUGGACAAAAUGUUGUUGUGACUCAGUCAGCAGCCAAAUCAGUGCAGCUCGGUCAAACUGUCUCUAUUGACUGUAAGUUCAACAGAGAACCUGAUACAUGUUGUUCGGCCACAAGGCACCUCUUGGCCUGGUACCAUCAGAAAACUGGAGAAGCUCCUAAAGCUCUGAUCUACAGAACAUCGGACAGACUUUCAGGAAUCUCCUCCAGAUUCAGUGGAAGUGGAGCAGGGAAUGGAGUUGACUUCACUUCAGUUUACAUUUUGUACUGUGGAACAAACAACAUGUAACACAUAUUGGGAUGCUAAAGACAUCUUUAUAUGUAAUUAAGCUCAGAUUUCUGCAAAAAAGAAUUUAAAUCAGAUCAGUAGCUACUUUCCCAAACUUAGACUCAGUUAUUUCCUGGAUCAUUUCAGUCACUGUAAGCAGUGAGGAGGUAAAGUGGUGAUGUGUUGAGCUACUGCUGAUCACCUGGACAUGGAAAAGAUCUUCGAGAAGAAGUUGGAGCAGAUAUUGAGGUUUUUGGUCACACUGAUCAGAAACAUGUUUAGAGGAGAGAAUGUGAUGCCUUUAGCCCCAAGAACACCAAACCUACUGUCAAGCACGGUGGUGGCAGUAUUGUACUCCGGGGCUGUUCACUGCCAGUGGAACUGGUGCUUUACACAAAGUAAAUGGAAUAAUGAAGAAAGAGGAUUACCUCCACACUCUUCAGAAAAGAAGAACAUAAAACCUUCAGAAGGUUGGUUCUUGGAUGCAGUUGUGUGUUCCAAGUCAAUGACCCCAAAUGUAUUGAAAAUGGUAAAGAACUGGAUCAGUUUGGCCAGAAUUAAGAGUUUAGACUGGUCUCCCCAAAGUCCUGACUUAAAACCAUCAAAAACCUGUGAUCUGUGAUGAAGGAACAAGUCUGUGUCAGAAAGUCAGCAAAUUUAGUUGAACUGCACCAAUUCUGUCAAGAGGACCGUCAAAGAUACGACCAGAAGCUUGUAGACGGAAACCAAAAGCACCUAGUUGAGGUGAAAAUAGCCAGGUGAUGUUUUAACAAAUAUUGGCAUCACUGUAUGUUUAUUUAUGACCCAGCAGAUUCUGUCAAAUUACCAGACGACAUAUAAUAAAUCUAUACAAGAAAAAAAAA